UGGAUAUGCUCUCAUGGAGAAUAUUUAUUUAUAUAGAAUAUUUUAUUUCAGAUUAACUAGAAACAAUGUUUAAUUUAUAAAGUUUUAUUUUGAAAUGUAAGUCAGUUUAAUAAUUAGCUGAAUCCACAGCAAAGUCUUUGCGAAAGGAUACCCCGCCCCAUUUUGGAGUUCACGCCCCACUUGCCCAUUUUGGAGAUCUCCAGUCUGCACCUACUUGGAGGAUAUGGCUAGCAUGCCAUUGUAGCAUCGUCGAUUGUAGCAAGGUUUUAAUCAUCAGGACGACUCGUUGUAAACAACAUUUCUAAAAAUGAACACAGGAGAGAACACGGUUCAGAUGAGUUGCUGUGAAACUUGGGUACAUGCUUAAAGAGAUAUGACAGCUUGAUAUGGAGUGCGGUGGGGAUAAGCGAUCUGUGUCAGGUCUGCUGGGCUCCAUAUGGUCCAUCACCAAGGUUCUCACUAUACAUCACACCCAUGAGCUAUAGAUGAACACAGGCUGUCUGUUUACCAGUCAUCCUUCAGAAACACUUAUGAGGGCCCGCAGAACAGGUGCCCAAGGCUGUGCCCUUUCAUAUGUUUAUUCUCUGCUACAGUAUAGCUAUUCCCACAUACUGUACAGAGUUCUGGCAUGAA